UCCAGGGUCUGUCUGAUCCUUUUACUGACUUUACUGACUGUAUCAUUCCAACAAUGUACUGGUCUGCAGUCCUUACCCUGAUCACAAUCUCCUGGACAUGUUGCAGGUCCCAGCCGAGCCUGUCUCAGGCUCCCACAGCGAUUGUGUCUCUGGGACAAACAACCAAACUGCCCUGCACCAUGAGUGGGGGCAGCAUCAGUAGCUAUCAUGUGUACUGGUACCAGCAGCGACCUGGGACUGCUCCACGAUACCUUCUGAGAUACUAUUCUGAUUCUAACAAACACCAAGGCACUGGGGUCCCCGAUCGGUUCUCUGGAUCCAAAGACAAUUCUCAGAACAUUGGCUAUUUAACCAUCUCUGGUAUCCAGGCAGACGAUGAUGCUAAUUAUUACUGUGCUACAUGGGAUAGUAGCUCUAGCUCAUACACAGUAAUACAGUUACAGGGGGAACUGAAACACAAACUCUCUGCAUCACCAGAUCUGUGUGUACAGCUGCACUAA